rnacentral:rRNA from 1 species
AACACAUGCAAGUCGAGGGGCAGCAUGGUGCCAGCUUGCUGGCGCUGAUGGCGACCGGCGCACGGGUGAGUAACGCGUAUCCGACCUACCUUCCGCCCGGGGAUAGCCUUCCGAAAGGGAGAUUAAGACCCGAUGGUGUCAGGGGGCUUCAUGGCAUCCUGACUAAAGGCGACGGCGGGAGCUGGGGAUGCGUCCCAUUAGGCAGUUGGCGGGGUAACGGCCCACCAAACCGACGAUGGGUAGGGGUUCUGAGAGGAAGGCCCCCCACAUUGGAACUGAGACACGGUCCAAACUCCUACGGGAGGCAGCAGUGAGGGAUAUUGGUCAAUGGCCGGAAGGCUGAACCAGCCAAGUAGCGUGGAGGAUGACUGCCCUACGGGUUGUAAACUCCUUUUAUGCGGGAAUAAAGUCGGGCACGUGUGCCCGUUUGCAUGUACCGCAUGAAUAAGCAUCGGCUAACUCCGUGCCAGCAGCCGCGGUAAUACGGAGGAUGCAGGCGUUAUCCGGAUUUAUUGGGUUUAAAGGGAGCGCAGACGGGCCUUUAAGUCAGCUGUAAAAUCGCGCGGCUCAACCGCGUGCAGCAGUUGAAACUGGAGGCCUUGAGUGCGGUCGCGGCAGGCGGAACUCGUGGUGUAGCGGUGAAAUGCAUAGAUAU